GAGUCCGGUAAUAGCUGGUUCCUAUCGAAGUUGGCCGUAGUCAAGUCUAAGUGGAGAUUAUAUGAAGGGUAGAGUUACAGAUUGAAGAUUUAGGCCGGGAAACUGGUCGGUCUUCUGUCUAACUCCAAACAUUCAUACAUCGUAGAAGCUUGGAAACGGGGAGUCAGGGGUAAGCUUGGCUUCCGAGAGGGGAACAACCCAGACUACAGUUAAGGCUCCUAAAUAUCUGCUAAGUGUGAACGGGUGAAGAUUGUCUUUGGCCUUAGACAGCGAGGAGGUAGGCUUAGAAGCAGCCAUCCUUUAAAAAGUGUGUAACAACUUACUUGUCAAGGUUAAGGGUCCCUAAAAUGGACGGGGCUAAAUCAGUCACCGAUACUGUAGACAACCGAAAGGUUAGUAAUAGGUAGGCGUUCUGCAUGGACAGAAGCAUGUCUGAGAAGGUGUGUGGACCGUGUGGAAAUGAGAAUCCUGGUAAUAGUAAGAUCAGAGUAUUGUGAGAAUCAGUACCACCGAAAGGGCAAGGGUUCCUUGGCAAUGUAGUUCAGC
rnacentral:rRNA from 1 species